ensembl:snRNA U4 U4 spliceosomal RNA
UCCUUUGCCCAGUGGCAGUAUCCUAGCCAAUGAGGUUUAUCCGAGACGCGAUUAUUGCUAAUUCAAAUCCUUUGCCCAUUUUUCAACUGGGUUUUCUUUUUCUUGUUCAGUUUUAAGAGUUAUAUGUAUAU